GGGCCUGCGGCACCGACGCCGCCCGGUGGAUGGCUCGGCUCGGGCGCCGAGGAAGGCCGUGGCAAGCUGCGAUAAGCCCGGGGUAGGCGCACGCAGCCGUUGAACCCGGGAUCGCCGAAUGGGACCUCCUGCCACGGGUGAAGAGCCCGUGGCGUCCGGGAAACCAUUCCCUCCCUCCUCGUGGGGGAGGAGUGGGAGUACCGGACGGGAACCCCCCGAACGGAAACAUCUUAGUAGGGGGAGGAGGAGAAACCACCACGGGAUCCCCUGAGUAGGGGCGACCGAAAGGGGGAGAGCCCAAACCAAUCCUCCACGGGAUAACCGUGGAGGGAUGAGGGGUUGACGGGUCCCCGGCUAGGGGCCUUUGAGCCCCGAGAGGGCCUAUCCACGGUAGCCGAAGUGGCCUGGAACGGCCCGCCGUAGAGGGUGAAAGCCCCGUAGGCUAAACCGUGGAGGCCCUCGCCGCGGGACCAGAGUACCACGGCUUGGUUUUGCCGUGGGAAGCCGGGAGGCACCGGCUUCCAAGGCUAAACACGUCCCGAGACCGAUAGCGUACUAAGUACCGUGAGGGAAAGCUGAAAAGUACCCUGGAAAGGGGGUGAAAAGAGCCUGAAACCGGGCGGCUACAUACGGCGCAGCCUGGAAGAGAUGAGGUCCUCCAAAGGAAACCGGGGCGACCCGGGAGUACGAGGAGGGCCGAUCAGGGUUGCGCCGUCCGUCUUGAAACACGGGCCGGGGAGUCCACGGCAGUGGCGAGCCUAAGGGGGACAAAGCCCCGUAGGCGUAGGGAAACCGACAAGCCCGCAGCCGGGCCGCAAGGCACCGGCGAGGGGCGGGGUCCUCACAGGGCCCGGAGUCACUGCCGUGGGACCAGAAACCGGGCGAUCUAGGCGGGGGCAGGGCGAAGCCGGGGGAAACCCCGGUGGAGGCCCGCAAGGGUUCUGACGUGCAAUUCGUUCCCCUGACCCCCGUCUAGGGGCAAAAGACCAAUCUAGCCCGGUGAUAGCUGGUUCCCGCCGAAGUGGCUCUCAGGCCAGCCCCGCCAGAGGCUGGCUGCGGGGUAGAGCUACGGAUUGGGGGUGCAGGGGGCGAAAGCCCCCGGCCCCCUAUCCAACUCCGAACCCGUGGCCGCCGUAGAAGGCGGGAGUGGGGCUCCCCGGGGUAAGCCCGGGGGCCGAGAGGGGAACAACCCAGACCGGGGUUAAGGCCCCAAAGUGCCGGCUAAGUGCCAAUCCCAAAGGGCGUCCCGCGGCUUAGACAGCGGGGAGGUGGGCCUAACAGCAGCCACCCUCUAAGGAGUGCGUAACAGCUCACCCGCCGAGCCGCGGGGCCCCGAAGAUUGGUCGGGGCUCAAGCCGGCCGCCGAGACCCCGGGGCACGGCUCCGAUGGAGCCGUGAUCCGGUAGGCGGGCGCCGGGUCGGGGCAGAAGCCGGGCCGAGAGGUCCGGUGGACCCGAUCCGGGUGUGGAUCCCGGCGGCAGUAGCAGCGAAGAGGGGUGGAAAUCCCCUCCGCCGGAAAGGGCAAGGGUUCCUCGGCAACGGUCGUCGGCCGAGGGUUAGCCGGCCCUAACCCGGGCCGUAACACGGACCCGGGGAAGGGGAAACGGGUUAAUAUUCCCGUGCCGCGGGGGUAGACGCGGCAACGCAAGCCCGGCCUCCGACGCCUCCGGAUAGGCGGACCGGGGGCACCCGAAUGGGUGCGACCCGGCUAACCGGUGAAGGCCCUGGAGAACCGUAAUGGUGAGAAGGGGCCGAAGCCGGGAAUGGGAUCCCGUAUGGGGUCUUCCGCUGACUCCGGGGGCCCAUGAAAAGGGGGCCGGGAACGAUCCCCCGCGCCCGUACCGAGAACCGACACAGGUGCCCCUGGGUGAGUAGCCCCAGGCGUCUGGGGGAUAACCCGGGCCAGGGAACUCGGCAAAUUGGCCCCGUAACUUCGGGAGAAGGGGUGCCCGCGGCCUGGAGGCAGAAAACCCUCUGGACCGCGGGUCGCAGUGCCUAGGGGGACCUGACUGUUUAAUAAAAACAUAGGUCCCCGCAAGCCCGAAAGGGUGUGUACGGGGGCUGAAUCCUGGCCACUGGCGGUCCGUGAAACCGGGGUACAACCCGGCUAAGCGCCGCUGAAGGCCGGGAGUAACUCUGACUCUCUUAACGGGAGAAUCCCGUUGCUAUAUAAUUUUGCUGGGCAACGGGACCUCCCGGGGGAAAGGUAGCCAAAUGCCUUGCCGGGUGAGUUCCGGCGCGCAUGAAUGGAUCAACGAGGUCCCCACUGUCCUGGCCCGGGGCCCCGCGAAUACACGGAGCCGGUGCACAGGCCGGCAACCCCCCGCUGGGCGAUAAGACCCCGUGGAGCUUCACCGCAGCCUGGCGUUGGCUUCCGGGCUGCGGCGCGUAGCGUAGGUGGGAGCCGGUGAACCCGCCCCUCCGGGGGUGGGGGAGGCGCCAAUGAAACACCACCCACCGCAGCCCGGAGGCCUUACCCCCGGGGAGAUCCCGGGGGGACAGCGUCAGGUGGGCGGUUUGGCUGGGGCGGCACGCCCGCGAAAAGGUAACACGGGCGCCCAAAGGUCGGCUCAGGCGGGUCAGAGCUCCGCCGUAGAGUGCAAGGGCAAAAGCCGGCUUGACCGGACCCCGGAACAUAACGGGUCCGGCCGGGAAACCGCGGCCUAGCGAACGCUCGUGCCCUCCUCGGUGGGGGCCGGGCAUGACAGAAAAGUUACCCCGGGGAUAACAGAGUCGUCGCGGGCGAGAGCUCCCAUCGACCCCGCGGUUUGCUACAUCGAUGUCGGCUCUUCCCAUCCUGGGGGUGCAGCAGCCCCCAAGGGUGGGGCUGCCCGCCCAUUAAAGGGGAACGUGAGCUGGGUUUAGACCGUCGUGAGACAGGUCGGACUCUACCCGCGGGGGGUGUGGGCCGCCUGAGGGGAAGGUGCCCUCAGUACGAGAGGAACGGGGUGCCGCGGCCAAUGGUGUACCGGUUGUCCGGCAGGGCAGAGCCGGGCAGCCACGCCGUAGGGGGUAACCGCUGAAAGCAUCUAAGCGGGAACCCCUCCCCGAAAAGAGGCGGCCGUCCGCCGAAGAGGUUUCUCUUCGGCGGGUAGGGCUCCCGUAGAAGACGGGGUUGAUGGGGCGGGGGUGUAAGCCCCGAGGGAGCAUUGUCUCCCAAGGGGUUUAGCCCGCCGCUCCCAAGAGCCCGACGCCGCAGGCUA
rfam:Staphylothermus hellenicus DSM 12710, complete genome.